rnacentral:rRNA from 1 species
UGAGGAAUAUUGGUCAAUGGGCGGGAGACCUGAACCAGCCAAGUCGCGUGAGGGAAGACGGUCCUAUGGAUUGUAAACCUCUUUUGUCGGGGAGCAAAGAGGCCACGUGUGGUCAAAAGCGAGAGUACCCGAAGAAAAAGCAUCGGCUAACUCCGUGCC